AUAGCAGGGGGUUGGAACUGGAUGAGCAUUGUGGCCUUUUUCAACCCAGGCCAUUCUAUGAUUCUAUGACGAUGCUUUCCCUCCCCAAGCGAUGAACCCCAGCAUUAAUUUCUGAAGCCAGUUUGCUUUGCUGCAGCUCGAGAGAAGUGGGCAGAGUGGGGACUGUCAGAAACUCGCUUCCUAUUGGUCCUAAUGGUUCCUAAUGGCAGUUUUUACUUCACAUCUGCACACCCUGAAGCUUGAAAACAAUGCAUUUCUAAUGCGGCCCUUCCCUUUCCCCCCUGUGCAGCAGUACAAAGUGAUCUCGGUUAAAAAUAAAAUAAAAAUAACCCCAGAUUCCUGAUACUGAACAAAAGGAGGCAAUUGCACAACUCUGAACCGUCAUCAGGAUUUGGGACGUCAUCAACUCAGGAGCAAGCAGCAGCGUGGCCGUUCCCCAUCAAUCAGGGACAGACAGAAGGACACACCUAUGAGACCACUGCUGUCAUGAGGGUUUAAAUACUGCCUAAUUAUGUUGCAACUUCUACUCCCAGAUUUCUGUAGAGAAGAUUGCUGAUGCUGCGUGAUCUCUUUGCAAAACGCCCCCAGGGGAAAGAAGGCUGAAACCACUGCAAGAGAAAUGAACCAGAGCCAUACUGAGUUAGCCUGAGUUCCACCCACAUCCCUGGGACUGGAGAUUCCUGUUAGCUGGUUCUAAGUGUUUAUCUGCAACCAAGAUCUCAGCAGUCUAAAUGCCUCUCUUGAUUGUUCAAGGUUUCGUCGCCAUCUCAUGCACAGCUCAGGAGAUGGAGCUGAAAGGCACAGGAUGGUUCAGCAGCAAGCUGGUGUAUGUGGGAGUAGGAGAGCUGGGAGGUGUUUAUCAGGGCUGUGUCUGCACUGGCAGUAUUUACCACAUUAGCCUGCAGCACCGAUGUCUUCAGCCAUAACAUCUCAGUUGCAGCCUCCAGAAGUAUUUCCCUAGAAGACUGAAUGCAGAAAAAAGGCAAGCAUGUGUCAGUUCCCUUCAAGGUUGACCACAAGAGUACCCUCAGCAGACACAUUGCCUCAAGGUCUUCAGCCUCACCACCAGGAACAGGAGGCAGAGUCCCACCACGACCCCGCAAACCGCUCCAGCAAUCAUGCCAAUAUUUUGGGCAUCUGUUGUCCAAAAAAUAAACAGAUUAACAGGUAAA